rnacentral:rRNA from 1 species
GAUGAACGCUAGCAGCAGGCCUAAUACAUGCAAGUCGAACGGGAUUAAGAGGCUUGCUUCUUAUGAGAGUGGCGCACGGGUGCGUAACACGUAUGCAACCUACCUUCAACUGGGGGAUAGCCUUCCGAAAGGGAGAUUAAUACCGCAUAAUAUAAUUGAGUGGCAUCACUUGAUUAUCAAACGUCAGGGUUGAAGAUGGGCAUGCGUCCGAUUAGUUGGUUGGUGAGGUAACGGCUCACCAAGACUACGAUCGGUAGGGGAUCUGAGAGGAUGGCCCCCCACACUGGUACUGAGACACGGACCAGACUCCUACGGGAGGCAGCAGUAAGGAAUAUUGGUCAAUGGACGGAAGUCUGAACCAGCCAUGCCGCGCGCAGGAAGAAGGUCCUCUGGAUUGUAAACUGCUUUUGUUAGGGAAGAAACUUCCGUACGUGUACGGGACUGACGGUACCUAAAGAAUAAGGAUCGGCUAACUCCGUGCCAGCCGCCGCCGUAACAC